GUGCCAGCAGCCGCGGUAAUACGGAGGGUGCGAGCGUUAAUCGGAAUUACUGGGCGUAAAGCGCGCGUAGGUGGCUUGAUAAGCCGGUUGUGAAAGCCCCGGGCUCAACCUGGGAACGGCAUCCGGAACUGUCAGGCUAGAGUGCAGGAGAGGAAGGUAGAAUUCCCGGUGUAGCGGUGAAAUGCGUAGAGAUCGGGAGGAAUACCAGUGGCGAAGGCGGCCUCCUGGACUGACACUGACACUGAGGUGCGAAAGCGUGGCGUAGCAAACAGGAUUAGAUACCCUGGUAGUCC
rnacentral:rRNA from 1 species